UCAUCCCUUACUGGCCUGGGAAUUCUGCCUGGAGUGAGCACAAGCCAAAAAGGCCUCCACCAGCUCUCUAAAAGGGCAAUGGCCGCUCAGAUUAACUUCCUGCCACCGUAACCUCUGAAGAUAUGGGCUGGUAGAAUGCAAUUGCCUUGGCCCUCUGCUGUGGGCUCCCUAGGCAGCAGAGGCUUCCCACAGCAGGGAGAAGGGGCCUUGGUGAGUUUGGAUGGCACCAGGGAGACCAGGGAAGUGAGGGCUGUCAGAAUUCUGCCUCAGGUCUCAAAGUCAUUGUGUUGCAGACAACAGCCUUGAACUCUUAAGCAUGCUGCUUCCAUCUCCCAAGUGCUAGCAUUACAGGGUCUUGUGUUCCUGGAUCGUCUGGCACUCUUUGCAACUCAGACUAGUCACAAAUGUGUGAUGAGCCUCCCUGCCUCAGCCUGCAGUUUUCCUUUGAAAUUAGGAUUUGUUCAUUCUUUCACGGAUGUUUCAUUAGAUAAGUAUUUCCCUAAUGGAUGUGGAAGAAACAGUUUCAGGCCAGCCAGCGAGUGCUAGGAAGUCCAAGGCCACCCAGAGGCUCAAAGACACCUUUGGGGGCCUGAGUUCAGCUGCUUCCUGGAACAAGAGGGAAGCUUUGUUUUGCAAACCAGAUGGCAAAUCCUGUGGCCUAGAACAUUCAGACAGCAGAACCAGAAAUUGGAAGAGCAACCUGGUGUAACUGGAGCCUACAUCAGUGUUAUUCACACAGCUAAGGGAAGAUGUAUCUGCCCAUUAGAGAGCAGAUUAGAGACAGUCGUGAAGAACUGACAUCCAGGCCCAGGGGAGUGAAGGGUCCACAAACAGCAAGCAACCCCUCAGCUGUGCAGCCUUCUUGGCAAACAGUCUGUGCACUUCAGAUGUCUUUUCUUGUUUUAUACUCAGAACCCUUUCGUCAAAUGAAAUUGGAUCCAUCGAGGCCAAGAUGUGGAGGGGGCAGCCUGCACACCACAUGAUUGGUCCCCACUGCUAAAAAAAUCACUGUCUUAGAGGAAAUGUGGGCCUCCCUAAUCCACAAUUUUAAAGACUCUGAGUCAAUCUACCCCUUUAGUUUAGGAGACAGUGACCCUGAGGGAUCACAAUACCUGCCACAGACGCUCAGGGGAUUGGCUCAGGGCAGUAAAGAUUCUAGUGUUUCCUGUUCCUAUAAAUAGCUAAAUCCUUUGAAAUGAAACUAGAUCCCAGGGCUGGGGAUGCAGCUCUGUAGUGAAGUUGUGUGUACCAUGCUUAAAGCCCUGGGUUUGGGCUCAGUCACACACACAUCAUAGAGUAAAACCAAUCAAAAUAAAAUCAAAAUCAUUAAAUCAGACUUACUUCUUAAUAUGUUUGUGUUAAGAGUAGCUACCUCUAAACAUUUUAUUUUUUAAUAGACUUUGCUUUAAAAAAAAAAAAAACUUGGAAAUUAGCUAGGUUGAGAUGGCUCACGCCUUUAAUCCCAGCACUCUGGAGGCAGAGGCAGGUGGAUCUCUCUGAGUUCAGUCUAGCCUGGUCAAAGAAUGAGUUCCAGAACAGUCAGGGCUACCCAGAGAAAUUCUGUCUUGAAAAACUAAAGCCCAAUACAAAAAACUUGUAAAUUAAACACACACACACACACACACACACACACACACACACACACACACACGCAUACGGCGAUUUAGCCAGAUCAAAGUCUGUAUGUCUCAGUAAACUUCUAUACAGUUUGAACAGCCUGUGGAGUUCCACACUGGCUUUAAACGUUCACUAAUGAAUAUUAUUCACUACUAAAACUGAAAAAAUCUGCAACUGAGUCUAGAAAAACAAUUAAAAAAUAAAUGACAACAGUGUUAGGUUGCUGGGAAAGAGAACACUUACCCACUGUUAGGGGCAAACUGGUAGAGCCAGUGUGGAGGCAUCUCAAAACCCUAAAAACAGCAUUUCCAUGGGAUCCUGCUGUGUCACUGUUGGCAUUUACUCAAAGGACUCUAUCUCCUAUUACAGAGAUACGAUCUAUGUUCAGCUAUGUCUUUUGUUGCUCUGACGGUAUAGCAAGGAUAAGGGAACAUGGUACAUAUACAGAAAAAGUAGAAUUAAUUAUUCAAUGUGCAGGGAAAUGGAUGGAACUGGGAAAGAUAUUAAACAAGGUAAGACAGGCUCAGGAAGAUGAGCACCGGUGCUCAUGCAUGUCAUACCUUCUCCUUUUUACAUAUGUAUAUCUAUGUGGAGGGCAAGAGGGCAAAUGCUUGGACACACAAAGCCUCCAUGAAAGGGGAAAGAAAACUUUCAACAGAAAAUCAACCUACCAGCAAAUCUCGAGAACUUGUGUCUGUGCUGUAGUAGGGACAGCCCUCGCCCCCAGAGCCAAGGAAAAGAAAGACAAAGGCCAUGCCGACUGAUUAGUGUCCUUGAGUGACUAUCAGCAAGGAAACACAACAGUAGGCUUCUAGAAAGCUGAGGUCUGACAAGGAGGCAUUUUAGGUAGGGGUUCAGCUAGCUCACUGAUUCCAACAUGCCACUUCCAGGUUUCCAGUCUAUGAAGGGUUGUUUGGAGUUAUUUUACACAGUGGGGAAUGAUUCUUGUACCUAGAACUUCAGAAGGUUAAGCCGAGGAAACACUGCCAGUCUAGCACCCUCAGGCUAGCUGAGGCUCUCACCUGGGGCUUCUGGCAUGACUCUGGGAUGCCCAUCUCUAGUGCUAAAAUAAGUGCCUCCCAAGGAAAGCAUGAGCUGAGAGUCUGCCUUGGGAGCUUCAAUGACUCCCAACAGCCUUUGUUUUAUUUUAAAAAUAGCACAAUGGAAGGCGGGGCAGGCCAGCUGGGCUAUGCAGCAGGACCCACCUCAAAAGCAUUUUAAGUCAAAAGAAAUAUUUUUAAUUGGCAGAGAGUGGUGACAUGGACCUUUAAUCCCAGAAUUCAGGAGGCAGAGGGAGACUGACCUCUAUGGGUUUAAGGCCAGCCUGGUCUAUAUUAUUAGCAAAUUCCAGGUGAGCCAAGGUUGCAUAGAGCAGUGGUUCUCAACCUUCCUAAUGCCAUAACCCUUUAAUACAAUUCUUCAUGUUGUGGUGACCUCCAACAAUAAAAUUAUUUUCAUUGCUACUUCACAACUGCAAUUUUUCUACUAUUAUGAAUCGUAAUAUAAAUACCUGUGAUUUCUGGUGAUCUUAGGCCACCCCCUGUGAAAAUAUCAUUCAACCCUCCCAAAGGGGUUGGGACUCACAGGUUGAGAACCAGUGACAUGAGAGACUGUCUCAAAAACAAACAAAAAAGUAUCUUAAUUAUACAUGUGUAUGUGUGUUAGUAUCUCCAUGUCAUUUGUGUACAUCAGUACAGUUACAGGUGGUUGUGAGUUACCUAAUAUGGGUGGGUACUGGAAACAGAACUCUGGGCCUCUGCAAGAGGAGCAAGGGCUCAUAACUACUGAGCCAUCUCUCCGCUCCCAUCCCUACCAAAAAGACAAAACCAAAACCCGCAACCUUUUAAGUAAAUAAGUGGGAAUUUAAUUGUAAGACUCGAUGUGAAAGAAAAUGCCUGAGAGCAGCCUUCCACGUUUCACUGCCUCUGCUUUGUGGCCUUAGCACAGUCCUGGCAUCUAUUGGGAGCAGUUAUGGGGAUGAUAGCCCUCUAGUCUGCCUUUCAAAAGAGGGAAGUCCUUCACUGUAACACAGUACUGGCCAUUUCUGCAGCCCAUUUGCUAAGAAUACCUGUGUA